rnacentral:rRNA from 1 species
CCUACGGGUGGCAGCAGUGGGGGAUAUUGCAAAAUGGGGGAAACCCUGAUGCAACGACGCCGCGUGGGUGAAGAAGUAUUUCGGUAUGUAAAGCCCUAUCAGCAGGGAAGAAAGAAGACGGUACCUGACUAAGAAGCCCCGGCUAACUACGUGCCAGCAGCCGCGGUAAUACGUAGGGGGCGAGCGUUAUCCGGAUUCACUGGGUGUAAAGGGAGCGUAGACGGCCGUGCAAGCCAGGAGUGAAAGCCCGGGGCCCAACCCCGGGACUGCUCUUGGAACUGUGCGGCUGGAGUGCGGGAGGGGCAGGCGGAAUUCCUGGUGUAGCGGUGAAAUGCGUAGAUAUCAGGAGGAACACCGGCGGCGAAGGCGGCCUGCUGGACCGCGACUGACGUUGAGGCUCGAAAGCGUGGGGAGCGAACAGGAUUAGAUACCCCAGUAGUC